rnacentral:rRNA from 1 species
UUCGUGGUCUUUUCUUGUUUUUAUUUUUUUUAUUCUGUCUCUCGGUGGGGGUAGCGGAGCAGAGAGGAGAGGAGCGUCUAGAAAGGGCAGAGGCCAGUGGUACUUGAGGAUGAGGCCGCUGGCCAGGAGGAGGGCAGGGUGGUGUUGGAGGAAGCUGAGGAUGGUCAAACUGAAGCCCCGGUUGCGGAGGGCGAGGAGGUGGAGGGCGGGGGAGGCGCUGGUCUCCGGUCCGCCGCGGUGGUUGGGAAGUGGCUCCGGUUGGUGGUGUUUGUGUACCAGUGUGGUCGGCCACUUCUGCAGGACCUGAGUAGUCGGUAGGGGCAGGCAGCGGCGCCGCGAGCCUAGGCCCGGACACAGGUACCAGCCGCUGUAGAGGCCGGCCUCGACCAGGCGGUGCCGCGGGAGGAGGCCGUAGCCGGAGGGAGUCAGGUUGUUGGGGUUGGAGAAGUCGCUGGAGGAGCCCGGCCGCGAACCUAGGUGGGCUCGGGUCAGGUUGCGCGGCGAGUCUAGUCGUCGCCGGGUCGGGAGGUUCGGCAGUUCGCGAUUGGGAUCCUGGUUGUCGAGAAGGAAGAGCUACCCGCCAUACCGCUCGUGCGAGGGCUUUUGGUGGCCCCGUGGCUAUCGAAGACCAUCAAUACCCCAACCACCGGCCGGUUACUUCGGCCACCCGUACCGCGGCCGCUGGCGCAGUGUCGGGUACCGCGUCUUCUUCCUAGGCAAGCCGAGGUAUCUAGGGAAGCGCCGCUUCGGACCCAGAUACUUACGACGUUUCGUCCGUCCAAGCCGGUUUAGCCUAGGCCCUAAACCGCACAAAGUCCCGCACUCAAGCCCGCGGUUGCGACCUAAGUCAUCAAAGGUCUUUCGGCCGCGAUCUAGGUCACCGAAGGUCUCAGGACCACGGUGCUUCGGAAGGUUACAACGCGGAGGCGGACGUGGGCGAGGUCGCGGACAAAGACGUCGCCACUUGAGACCGCACCUAGUAAAACUGUGCGACAAAGGAAGCAGGCGUAGACGUGGUUGACGAAGACGCCGCUCAUUACCACCACCACUGUACAAACCACUCUACCUACCAACCCACCUGCACCUCAGCCUCAUACAACCACCACCACUAUCGUCACCGUGUUGGUGUCUCGACCUCCCUAAUGGCGGUGGUGGCAGACCCAACUGCCGUAGACGACGAUUCCGUUUUCCUUACCUAUUAAUGUUCCCACCCGUCAUACGACUACGAUAGUUUACCAACAGAACCCGACAAGACGAGUAGCUCUUCUGACCCUUUUUACGACCAUAACGUCUCCACAACAGUAGUUCCCGGAGCAGGAUGUUCCUCCAGCCGCUCAUGUUCUUCCGAUAACGGCUGACAAGCUUCCACGAGCUCGUUCUAUUACUGUUACACAGCCACGAUCACGUUGCACGAGAGAAUAUACUCUCGUCACUCUUUAUAUCCGAACCCCGACUCCUGGACGCAAACCAAGACUUCUAACUGGGACCCUUAGCAGAACGGUCCUCAUACUAAGUAGCUAACUUGUUUUACCGACUGAUCCCUACAAACAGUUCAAGGGAAUACAUGGUGGUAACAUUAGUAGGAACUGUGCCUUUGACACUCAAUAAAGUUAAAAAAAAUGAUAUGAACACCGAAACCCCCAUUAUUAAAUGUUGAAACCACAAUACUUCGUGUAGUUAUGUAGUAACGUAGAAGUGUGUGUCAUAUAAGAAACUAUACAUAACAUAUAGUAUAUAACAUAACUUGAAAUUAUCAAGUGAAACACCAAACUUUGGAAGUGACGAAAACAUUGUAGUACUAUAACGAUACUGGAAUUCUAUUUUAUAAUAUAGGUUCUGUGUCUAGAAAACGUAUCUACCACUACGAUAAAGCGUGAUACUGCAUUACAAGUAAUCAUAAAUAUCACAAACAACUUAUAGAGAACGCGCGGAACAGAAUUAAAAUACGAAUUAGUGUUAAGUGUUGUAUCCAAGACCCUUGUAGCAUAAAAACCGCAGACGAAAUACGAACUUCUACAGUCACGACAGAUUAACGGAUACAUCUUCACAUGGACCGUCAACAUUACAACGUUUAACGAUUGCGAUCACACCAACACGUCAUAUUGCUCAAUUAAAACGGACAUACUAGCUUAGAGAGGUCUCUGGUAUACGUACAAACUCUUUACGUUUAACAGGGUGUUACACUUUAAAAAUAAAACUGGUUUUAUUAGUACAAUAUUGUUUUCC